UAUUUUUUUGGCCUCAGUCAUUGAUAUCAGACUCCUCCAAAUAUUAUACACACACACACACACACACACACACACUUUUCUUUCUUGGGGGAGCAGGGGUCUUGUUUGUGUGCAGACCCUCUUUGGGAAGAAUCACAGAGUGGUUAACGGUUUCUUCCUAGAGUGCUAGGGGGCUGGAAGGAAGGGGAGGCAUUUACCUGUUUGUACCUCUUGAAUUUUGAACUGUAAGAAUAAUGCCUAUUCAAAACAUAAUGAACGUCUAAAAUUUAACAAUUGUUUUCAGCGGCUAUAGGUUGAAAAGGAUGAGAAUUUAAAAUACAACAUAUUUGAUACUUUGGUGAUCUAUGAAAUAGUCUUAGAACUGAACACUUAAUAAUUUUUAUUAGGUCUUUAUUAUUAAUUCUGCCCAAAACACACAGGUAUUUAAAACAUAAAAACAUACAUGGCCUAGCACUACUUUUUAUUAUUAUUUAAAUGGUUUUUUACUCGAUAGUUCUAUAUAGAAAAGACCCUUCCAAUUCAAAUGAUCGUAUAACAUGUACAGAACAUAGAAGUGCUUCACUUAUCUGCCCGACUUCUGGCAUCUUGGUCAUCUAAUUAUCAUCUAAGAACCUGAAGUUCAGAAAUCCAACAGGAGAUAGAGUAACAGCCUCACUGCCAUACUGUUGUGAUAGCUGACAGUGAGAGAAGAGACCGAGUAGAAAAUCUCAGCAUUCUAGAUCUAUUUAAUUCCUCCUACCUUCUAUCACUGCCAGAGCUGAUACGCAUAACCCUGAGAUCAUCAAGGAAGUAUUCAUUUAAGUCCAGGAGUCUCGUGUUUAGUAGGCAGGAAACUCUAUUAAUGCCUAGUACAUUUUAGAAUGUUGUCUUCCUCGAUUGUCAAAUGAGUUUUGGUAUUUUAAAAUGAGGUAAGCUUUAGAUAUUGGGGAAGAUUUGCUCAAAACUGUUUUGGAGCCUACUGUUUUUUUUU